rnacentral:rRNA from 1 species
GCAUCUCCCUUACACUGAGAAGCCGCCCAUGCAAAUUGGGCCAUCCUGACACCCAGUUGCUAGCCCAUCAAAUGUUUUUUAAAAUUAAAUAUUUUUAAUAACAAAUAAACUAAAACCAUUCAACAAACCAUUUUUCCCCCUAAGUAAUAGGUGAUAGAAAAGGGACCAUAAGAGCAAUAGACAAAGUACCGCAAGGGAACCCUGAAAAAGAAAUGAAACAAAUCAACAGUUCAAGCACCCAAUAGCAGAGACCCCCUCUCGUACCUUUUGCAUCAUGAUUUAGCAAGUAAACCCCAAGCAAAGAGCCCUGUAGUUUGAGACCCCGAAACUAAAGCGAGCUACUCCAAGACAGCCCAAUAAGGGCAAACCCGUCCCUGUGGCAAAAGGGUGGGAAGAGCUUCGAGUAGGGGUGAUAAACCUACCGAGCAUAGUUAUAGCUGGUUGCCUGAGAAAUGAAUAGAAGUUCAGCCCUCCGGCUUCCUAACCCACCUUAGUACCACUAAUGUAUUGGCCCUAGGAAACCAGAAGAGUUAAUUAAAGGGGGUACAGCUCCUUUUUAAUAGAAACACCUU